AUGGCCAAAGCUCUCCUCACCGCCGACGCCGCCCGAUCCCUCGUCGGCUCCGUCGACGCCUUCCUCUUCGAUUGCGAUGGGGUGAUUUGGAAAGGGGACGAGCUCAUCCAAGGGGUCCCCGAGACACUGGAGUUGCUGCGAAAAUUGGGCAAGAAAUUAGUUUUUGUAACAAACAACUCUAGGAAGUCGAGAAGGCAGUAUUCAAAGAAAUUCAAAACACUUGGCCUUGAAGUUACUGAGGAAGAGAUCUUCACGUCAUCAUUUGCAGCAGCCAUGUUCUUGAAGUUAAAUAAUUUUUCUCCAGAGAAGAAGGUUUAUGUUGUUGGUGAGGAUGGCAUCUUGGACGAGCUCAAGUUAGCUGGCUUUGAAUGUUUUGGUGGUCCGGAGGAUGGCAAGAAAAACAUAAUGUUGGAGGCGAACUUCUACUUUGACCACGACAAAAAUGUUGGAGCUGUCGUUGUUGGACUUGAUCAGUACUUCAACUAUUACAAAAUGCAGUAUGCAAGCUUGUGUAUUCGUGAGAAUCCAGGCUGCCUUUUCAUUGCGACCAACCGUGACCCUACUGGACAUAUGACAUCCGCCCAAGAAUGGCCAGGAGCUGGAACUAUGGUUGCUGCAGUAAGUUGCUCGGUGCAGAAAGAGCCUAUUGUUGUUGGAAAACCUUCAAGCUUUUUGAUGGACUUCCUAUUGAAAAGCUUCAAUUUGGAAACGUCGAGAAUGUGCAUGGUUGGUGACAGACUAGACACAGACAUACUAUUUGGCCAGAAUACUGGUUGCAAGACCCUCCUUGUUCUGUCAGGUGUGACUACCUUACCAGACCUUCAGGAUGCCUCAAAUACCAUCCAUCCAGAUCUUUACACAAACUCUGUGCACGAUCUCGUCAAGUUGCUGCAGCAAUAA
rnacentral:rRNA from 1 species